CCUACGGGGGGCUGCAGUGGGGAAUAUUGGACAAUGGGGGCAACCCUGAUCCAGCCAUGCCGCGUGUGUGAAGAAGGCCCUCGGGUUGUAAAGCACUUUCAGUGAGGAAGAACGCCUGGUGGUUAAUACCCAUCAGGAAAGACAUCACUCACAGAAGAAGCACCGGCUAACUCCGUGCCAGCAGCCGCGGUAAUACGGAGGGUGCUAGCGUUAAUCGGAAUUACUGGGCGUAAAGCGCGCGUAGGUGGCUUGAUAAGCCGGUUGUGAAAGCCCCGGGCUCAACCUGGGAACGGCAUCCGGAACUGUCAAGCUAGAGUGCAGGAGAGGAAGGUAGAAUUCCCGGUGUAGCGGUGAAAUGCGUAGAGAUCGGGAGGAAUACCAGUGGCGAAGGCGGCCUUCUGGACUGACACUGACACUGAGGUGCGAAAGCGUGGGUAGCAAACAGGAUUAGAUACCCUUGUAGUC
rnacentral:rRNA from 1 species